rnacentral:rRNA from 1 species
GACGUAGGGUCCAAGCGUUGUCCGGAUUUACUGGGCGUAAAGAGCGCGUAGGCGGUCCGUUAAGUGUAGAGUGAAAGCUCCGAGCUCAACUCGGAAAUUGCUCUGCAUACUGGCGGACUUGAGGAUGGAAGAGGUUUGUGGAAUUCCUGGUGUAGCGGUGAAAUGCGCAGAUAUCGGGAGGAACACCGGUGGCGAAGGCGGGUCUCUGGGCCAAAACUGACGCUGAGGAGCGAAAGCGUGGGGGGCGAACAGG